rnacentral:lncRNA from 1 species
AAAAAAAAAAGAAAAAGAAGAAGAAAAAGAAGAAAAAAAAAUUUGUUAAGCCCCCGAACUGAAGGUUACGAGCGGCCCGUCAGCAGCCCACAUGUAACCGAACUGUCGUGUUUCAUGGCUUUUUGCCACUCCAGCUGUCAAUCAAAGCCCGGAAUGUCAAGGUAGUGAAUGAAUGAUGGUUGAUGAUGAUGAAGAGGAGGAAUCUUUCAGACCCGUUUUUUUCUUCCAGUAAAACUCCGCGAGGGGUUUCUGCUUCUUGUAUUUUUUCCUCCCCCUCCCCCCUCUUUUAGCUUUGCCCCCGCUGUAUCUAUAAUAUGAUCCUCUCUCUUUAAAGUAUCGUUCAAAGAAAGCAGGAGGGGAAAAAUCAAGAAAAAAAACGAAUAGUUUGCAAAAAUUGGACUUCCUCCCCCCCUUUCUUGGUAGGUAUUUUGUCUCUCCCUCUCUCUCUUUCUCGCUCGCUCGCUCGCUCUCACUCGCGCUCGCUCUCUCGCGCUCGCUCUCUCUCGCUCUCUUUCUCUCUCUGGGAGAUGAGUGAGUGUCAGUAGGUGUUGGCAGGUUGGCUGCUGCCUGGCUUAUAGAAGAGCCUCAGUUUGGCGGCGCGGGUCGGCGGCGGGAGAACGAAAUGACGGAACCCGGAAGUCGUGGUGGCCAUAGCCCGUCGUACGGCGGAGACACAUCCCGGGAGUGGGGAGCGGGAGCGAGGAGGAGCGCGCCGCGCGGAGCCUCUGAUAUGCAGCGAGUGCGAUCGGACGGCCCCGGUUGGGGGGGCGGGGGAGGCGGGGGGCGGAAGGGGGAGGGGAGGCAGGAGCCCAGCAGACCCGAGCAAAUCAGCGAGGCUGCUCCUCCGCGGGGAUGGCGCGGGGGGCGGAGGGGAGGGAGGAAGAGGAGUGUGUGUAUAUGUGUGUGUGUGCGCGUUUGUGUGUGUGAGCUUGUGUGUGCGCGCGCGCGCGCGCACGUGAGGAAAGAGGGAGGGAAAGAGAGAAAGAGAAUGAAGAAGACAGGGAGAGCGCAGAGAGGAAAACUGCAGAAAACCACAGGGAAAGUACGGUACAGCUUCAGAUUUUUUAUUUUUUUCUCUAAAACUUCUAGUUCAUUUCCCCAUCACUCCCGGCUCCUCCCUAACGGGGUCGUGUCGGGGACGUUUGGCAUGGCGCUCCUGCUUUUGUUCCUUUUAAUUCCGCGGCCCCCUACUCCUCUACCAGCCGACUGUCGCGCCCCGAAGGCUUUCUGCUAA